rnacentral:rRNA from 1 species
CCUACGGGUGGCAGCAGUGGGGAAUAUUGCACAAUGGGCGCAAGCCUGAUGCAGCCAUGCCGCGUGUGUGAAGAAGGCCUUCGGGUUGUAAAGCACUUUCAGCGGGGAGGAAGGCGGUGAGGUUAAUAACCUCAUCGAUUGACGUUACCCGCAGAAGAAGCACCGGCUAACUCCGUGCCAGCAGCCGCGGUAAUACGGAGGGUGCAAGCGUUAAUCGGAAUUACUGGGCGUAAAGCGCACGCAGGCGGUCUGUCAAGUCGGAUGUGAAAUCCCCGGGCUCAACCUGGGAACUGCAUUCGAAACUGGCAGGCUAGAGUCUUGUAGAGGGGGGUAGAAUGCCAGGUGUAGCGGUGAAAUGCGGAGAGAUCUGGAGGAAUACCGGUGGCGAAGGCGGCCCCCUGGACAAAGACUGACGCUCAGGUGCGAAAGCGUGGGGAGCAAACAGGAUUAGAUACCCCGGUAGUC